GAGCGAGACUCCGUCUCAAAAAAAAAAAAAAAAAAAAAAAGGAAGCAAAAGAUAUGGCACUAAAAGCAAUGUGUGAUCCUAAAUUAGACCCUGAAUAAAAACCAAACAAACAAAACCAGCUACUGAGGAACGUUAUUGGGACAAUCGGGGAAAUUUGAAUGGAGAGUAGAUUAGUGUGGCAACAAUGUAAAAUUUUCUGAGGGGGCCCCGGGCGCGGUGGCUCACGCCUGUAAUCCUAGCACUUUGGGAGGCCGAGGGGGGCGGAUCACUUGAGGUCAGGAGUUCGAGACCAGCCUGGCCAACAUGGUGAAACUCCGACUCUAGUAAAAAUACAGAAAAUUAGCUGGGCAUGGUGGCGGGUGCCUGUAAUCCCAGCUACUGGGGAGGCUGAAGCAGGAGAAUCAACUUGAACCCCGGAGGUGGACGUUGCAGUGAGCCAAGAUCGUGCCAUUGCACUCCAGCCUGGGUGACAGGGCAAGACUCCGUCUAAAAAAAAAAAAAAAAUUCUAAGGAUAGUGUACGUUGGUUAUGCAGAAAUGGCCUUGAUUUUAGGAGAUGCAUGCUGAAGUAUUUAGAAGUGAAAUAUCAUGUACAAACUCCCCUCCCACUCCCCAUGUGUCCCCAGAGCCUCACCCAAGAUCUUCAUGAGGUUAUGAACACAGCUAUGAAUUAGGAUCUGAGCUGUGUCUGAGGACUUUCUACCAAAGUCAGAAUCUAAUUUGUGUAUCGUUUUUAGAUUUUUUUUCUCUUUUUUUGAGACGGGGUGUCACUCUGUUGCCCAGGCUGGAGUGCAGCAGCGCCAUCUCAGCUCAGUGCAGCCUCAACCUCCUAGGCUCAAGCGAUCCUCCCGCCUCAGCCUCCCGAGUAGCUGGGACUACAGGUGUGAACCACCACACCAGGCUAAUUUUUCUAUUUUUUGUAGAAAUGGGGUCUCACUAUGUUGCCCAGACUGGUCUUAAACUACUGGGCUCAAGCAAUCCUCCUGCCUUGUCCUCCCAAAGUGCUGGAAUUAGAGUGCCUGGCCACAGGUCUAAUUUGAAUGUCAGAAGGGCAGCAAGUAAUUACUAAGUUGUUUUAUGGAGAAACCAAUGUUGUCACCAUACCACACACAGCUAUGUUACAGCCCUGAUGACACCACCUACAAGUCAUUUAGUCUCAGUCACUUCCUAGUGAAGCUCUAGCUUCCAUUUAAUCAGAGACAGUUUGGGAAAGAAGGAGGUGACAUACAACCAGAGUCGUAAUUGGAAAAUAGCCCAGGCAGUGUUCCUUGUGAUUUUAUGUUGUUUUCAUCAACUUGGUGUUUGGAAAUAGACGUCAGUUAGUGACAUGUGUAGCAGGCAUAGAGGAAAGAAUGAACUUUGAAACCAGAAUUCUUGUGUUCAGAUGUGGCUAAAGGAGUGUCUUGUGGUGCCACUUUUCAAAAGACAGCCACGGCUCCAGGUGCCGCUCAGGAGGCCUUGUGGAGUGAAUUCUGUGAGGUCAUUGCUGCUGUGGCCUGUGUCGUGAAACUUGUGGUCUGACCUAAGAGCUCUCCAUCCCAGAAACACUUAGGAAGCAUGUGCUGUUUGUUAUCUCUUUCUGUAAGAAGCUGUGGGGGUCACGUAGAGAGUAGCCUAAGGUAGUCUGCAGCCAGUAACAACGAUCAAUUCUGAUGGGUAGGGGUGGAGUCGCCAUGGCAUUACUGCUUUUAGCGUAACACCUAGCUCUGUGAGACCUGCGCACCACCAAAUUUCCAAUUAAAAGUAUCAAAUGCUACAUUCUAAGAAAAAUACACAAGUGACAAGCUUCUGGUCCUCAAGAGUGGUCAAGUUAACACAUGCCACUAAAAGCCAUACUUUUUCACUCAGCAAAAUAGAAAAAUUAAAAUCUAAACUAAUUCUUUAGCUGUUCCUAUGGAAGAAAGAUUAAUGAAAUAUGUUUACCUUCAAAAUAUGAAACCUACCUUCUUAGGCACUAACAAGUUCCAACUCAACUUCCACCUUCAAGUGGAUCAGAAGUCAUUUCCACCUGGA
rnacentral:lncRNA from 1 species